rnacentral:rRNA from 1 species
UACGAAGGGUGCAAACGUUGCUCGGAAUUAUUGGGCGUAAAGCGCACGUAGGCGGCAUUGCAAGUCGGAUGUGAAAUCUUAUGGCUUAACCAUAAAAGUGCAUCCGAAACUGCAGUGCUUGAGUACUUAAGAGGAUCGCGGAAUUCCUGGUGUAGCGGUGAAAUGCGCAGAUAUCAGGAGGAACACCUAUUGCGAAGGCAGCUCGCUGGGACGUAACUGACGCUGAGACGCGAAAGCGUGGGGAGCAAACAGG